GCUGGGCAUCGUGGUGUAUGCCUGUGAUCCCAGCUAUUGAGGAGGCUGAGGCUGAUGGAACUCUAGAGCUCAGGAGUUUUGAGCUACAGGAGGCUAUGCUGGCUAGGUGUCCACACUAAAUUCAGUAUUAAUAUUAUGAGCCCCCAGUAUAGAGGGGAGUACCGGAUUACCUAAAGAGGGCUAAAAUAACCCAUUUCAGAAAUGGAACAAAUCAAAGUUCCCAUGCCCAUCAGUAGUAGAAUUGGCCUGUGAGUAGCUCCUUUUUAUCCAGCCUGGGUGAGAGAGAGAUCCAGCCCA
rnacentral:SRP_RNA from 1 species